rnacentral:rRNA from 1 species
CUGCUGCCUCCCGUAGGAGUUUGGGCCGUGUCUCAGUCCCAAUGUGGCCGGUCACCCUCUCAGGUCGGCUACUGAUCGUCGCCUUGGUGGGCCGUUACCCCGCCAACCAGCUAAUCAGACGCGGGUCCAUCUCAUACCACCGGAGUUUUUCACACCGGAACAUGUGUCCCUGUGCGCUUAUGCGGUAUUAGCAGUCAUUUCUAACUGUUAUCCCCCUGUAUGAGGCAGGUUACCCACGCGUUACUCACCCGUCCGCCA